rnacentral:lncRNA from 1 species
CCUCCGCUCGCUAAAAAGAUCGAAACUUUACCAUCGCAUUAUCAAAGAUGGGCAUCCAAGAAGACCCCGGCGCUCACUCGUCAACCCGAAGGAACCCAUCAUCGCUUCCACAGACUCUCAAACAUUUCCACCGAGACCUACUCGCCGGAGCCGUCAUGGGAGGCGUCGUCCACACCAUCGUCGCCCCAAUCGAGAGAGCCAAGCUCCUCCUCCAGACCCAGGAGAGCAACAUCGCCAUCGUCGGAGACUCCUCCGGGAAGAGACGCUUCAAAGGAAUGUUCGAUUUCAUCCACCGCACGGUCCGUGAAGAAGGCGUUUUAUCCCUGUGGAGAGGCAACGGGAGCAGCGUGCUCCGCUACUACCCUUCCGUGGCUCUCAACUUCUCCCUCAAGGACCUCUACAGAAACAUCCUCCGCAACAGCAGCUCUCAGGAGAGUCACGUCUUCUCCGGGGCCUUAGCUAACUUCAUCGCUGGCUCCGCGGCGGGAUGCACGGCUUUGAUUGUUGUUUACCCUCUUGAUAUAGCUCACACGCGUUUGGCUGCUGACGUUGGGAAGAAGGAGGCUCGUCAGUUCAGAGGGAUUCAUCAUUUCUUGACGACGGUUCAGAGGAAAGACGGUGUUAGAGGGAUCUACAGAGGGUUGCCUGCGUCUCUGCACGGUGUGAUUGUUCACCGUGGGCUGUACUUUGGUGGGUUUGAUACGGUUAAGGAGGUUUUGUCUGAAGAUAAGGAGUUGGCGUUGUGGAAGAGAUGGGUUUUGGCUCAGGGUGUGACUACUUCUGCUGGUUUGGCUUCUUACCCGUUGGAUACGGUUAUAACACGCAAGAGACCCGAAUCAGUCUCCAAUCACAAUUUCUAGGGUUAAUUUGGAAUCUCCUUUGCUCGUGUACAAUGCCAGAUUGAACCAAAUCAAAACCAACCCCCAAAGUUUCGAUUUUUAAUAAACCCAAUUGCCUCCGCUCGCUAAAAAGAUCGAAACUUUACCAUCGCAUUAUCAAAGAUGGGCAUCCAAGAAGACCCCGGCGCUCACUCGUCAACCCGAAGGAACCCAUCAUCGCUUCCACAGACUCUCAAACAUUUCCACCGAGACCUACUCGCCGGAGCCGUCAUGGGAGGCGUCGUCCACACCAUCGUCGCCCCAAUCGAGAGAGCCAAGCUCCUCCUCCAGACCCAGGAGAGC